rnacentral:rRNA from 1 species
CGUAGGGUCCAAGCGUUAUCCGGAAUCACUGGGCGUAAAGCGUGCGUAGGUGGCGCGUUAAGUGAGAUGUUAAAACGUGGGGCUCAACCCUGUCGGUGCAUCUCAUACUGGCGUGCUAGAGGACAGCAGAGGCAAGUGGAAUUAGCAGUGUAGCAGUGAAAUGCGUAGAUAUUGCUAGGAACACCAAUGGCGAAGGCAGCUUGCUGGGCUACUCCUGACACUGAGGUACGAAAGCGUGGGGAGCGAACAGGAUUAGAUACCCUGGUAGUCCACGCCGUAAACGAUGCACACUAGACGUAUGGGGUAUCGACCCCCUGUGCGUCGAAGCUAACGCGAUAAGUAUGCCGCCUGGGAAGUACGGCCGCAAGGCUA